GUUAAGUAUAGUGUAGUGGUAACACUGCCGACCUUCACACGGGAGACCGGGAUUCGAAUCCCGGUCAGAGCG